GGAAGAUUGGCAGAGUGGUUUAUUGCAGUGGGUUGCUAACUCACCGGGUGUAACAGCCCCAUAGGUUCAAAUCCUAUAUCUUCCGCCA
rnacentral:tRNA from 1 species